UACGUAGGGUGCAAGCGUUGUCCGGAAUUAUUGGGCGUAAAGAGUUCGUAGGCGGUCACCGCAAGUCGACUGUGAAAUCUCCGGGCUUAACCCGGAAAGGUCAGCCGAUACUGCGGGGCUAGAGUGCAGAAGGGGCAACUGGAAUUCUCGGUGUAGCGGUGAAAUGCGUAGAUAUCGAGAGGAACACCUGCGGCGAAGGCGGGUUGCUGGGCUGACACUGACGCUGAUGCGCGAAAGCUAGGGGAGCGAACGGG
rnacentral:rRNA from 1 species